ensembl:snRNA U6 U6 spliceosomal RNA
CUGCUCGCUUCAGCAGCAUAUAUACUAAAACUGGGACAAUACAGAGAAGACUAGCAUGGUCCUUGCACAAGGAUGACACGAAAAUUCGUGAAACAUUUUCAUAUUUU